AACCCAGACCACCACAACCACCGACACCUACCAAAAAUACCGAAUCCACCCACAAACCCAGCGAAACCACCCAUAAACCCACCGAAAAUCACCGAAACCACCAACAAACCCACCAAAAAUCACUGAAACCACCCACAAACCCACCGAACGUCGUCAGAACCUCCAUUAAUCAGAUCCAAGCAACACUUAAUAGAUUUUCAGUUUUUAACUUAAGGUUGGUUUUUUACCUGAUCCAAACUCUCUCUCUCUAUAUAUAUAUAUAUAGGGAAUGGAUCAUCUGAAAACUAGUCUAAGGCUGAAAACUAAAAACAGGUGAUCUAGACCAUUGAAUUUUCAUCUAACGGAUGAGAUUAUAUCCGCUUGAUGUUUAUUCUUGACCGUGGGAUUUGUUCCUUGAUUUCUGAAAAUCCAUUCACUCUCCUAUUUUUUACUCUAUUUUUUUCUCUCAUCCAUCUCACGUUCUCCAUCUUCUUCAUUCUCUCUUCUUCCCAAUUCAAUAUCAACGCUGAACAUCAUUAAAUUAUAGAGGUAUUUGGUUCAAUCUUCGUCAAUUUCGUCAUUAGCUUCAAAAAAAAGGAAUCGUCGCCGUGCAGCAGAACGCCUACUUCAUGCUUCGUGCUGUGGAUUCCGAUAAUCUCAGAGAAGCUCUCAAGUACUCCGCUCAAAUGCUUUCAGAGCUCCGAACCUCUAAACUUUCUCCUCACAAGUAUUUUGAACUUUAUAUGAGGGCGUUCGACGAAUUGAAGAAGUUGAAAUUGUUCUUCAAGGAUGAGAGCAGGCAUGGUCUUGCAGUUUCUGAUCUUUACGAACUUGUUCAGCACGCUUGCAAUGUGUUACCGAGGCUGUAAGUCUUAAUUAGUGAGGUCAAUUUCAUAAUGUUUACAUUGAAUGUUGUUUUGGAGAAAUGUUAUGGAGAUUUUACAAUUUUAUGACUGAACUUGGAGUAAAAUUUGAUUUGACUUUGGAAUUUUCGCCGUCUUUUGAUGCAUUAGGAUGUGUAGUUGCGUAGUUAGUAUCAAUCCUGGUAUUCAAAUUCUAGGGAAAUAUCAAAACCGAGGAUUGGUGAAUAAUUUGGUCCGAAUGAAAGUUUGAUUUCUAGUUUCUCAUCUUCUCUUUUAUUUUAAUUUUGGGAUUGUAGAUGUCAAUCGGACUAGAAUAUGUUGUAUUUUGUUUGGAGAAGGUUUGUGUAUAUAUUGUGUGUUAUAUUCAUUGUGUCGACAAUGAAGAACUGGCCAAUACUUUGGCAAUAAUUGAUGGAAACCGAUUUUUUGGCUCCCGCAGCAACUGAGUCCCUCCGAGGCUCUACUCUGUCCUUCAAUGCUGGCUUUAAUACUGCAGUUCCGUUUUAUGCAGUAACCUUUACUUUGCUUUCUACUCCGUAGUUUUAAUGUACCAGGAAACAUUAGUGGUUUAGUCACUCUUUUUUUACUAGUUAUCUUUUUAUUAAUAUGUACAGUGACCCCUGAUUUUGUGCAAUAAUAUGAGUUAAUAGCCAUGGAGUA